UACGUAGGGGGCAAGCGUUAUCCGGAAUUACUGGGUGUAAAGGGUGCGUAGGUGGUACGGCAAGUCAGAAGUGAAAGCCCGGGGCUUAACCGCGGGACUGCUUUUGAAACUGUCGAACUGGAGUGCAGGAGAGGUAAGCGGAAUUCCUAGUGUAGCGGUGAAAUGCGUAGAUAUUAGGAGGAACAUCAGUGGCGAAGGCGGCUUACUGGACUGAAACUGACACUGAGGCACGAAAGCGUGGGGAGCAAACAGG
rnacentral:rRNA from 1 species